AAAUGAAUAGUAGUUAAGAUGCUAUUUUUACUGUAAGACGAAAAGACCCUAUAGAGCUUAACUAUAACUUUUUUAUAAUAAAAGAAAAAUAAUUCUAUAAUUAAAAAGGUUGGURGUUUAGUUGGGGCGACUGUCUUCUAAAAUAAACGAAGACAAGCAAUGUUAAUAAAAAACUUAUUGUAUAACAAAAAUGUUUAACAAUUAUGAAAAUAGGCUAUAAUGACCCGUUAAUACUCAAUAAAARGAUUAACGAUCAAUUAAUAAAAGCUACCUUAGGGAUAACAGGAUA
rnacentral:rRNA from 1 species